rfam:Gossypium arboreum cultivar AKA8401 contig_29947_1, whole genome shotgun sequence.
UCGGGUCUAUUUGAAUAGGAUCUGUUCUACAGGCUAGUACAUCUGUAUCCUUAACUCCUAAGGAGACAGGAUUCCAAGUCUAGUUAAACAAUCAAGAUUGUGUGAUCAGAGCUUGAUUAUUGUUUUGGUAGCUCAAUGAUUGGAUCACCUUGUCCGCAGAGGAUCGUUGUCAACCUUGCUUGGUUAGGAUGGUCGUACAGUUGAGAAUCUAAUAGAUU